GCCCGGGUGGCGGAACGGUAGACGCGGCGGACUCAAAAUCCGCUUCUCGCAAGGGAGUGUGGGUUCGAUUCCCACCCCGGGUA
rnacentral:tRNA from 1 species